rnacentral:snRNA from 1 species
UAGUCUGUGCAGUGGCAGUAUCAUAGCCUAUGAGAUAAAACUGAGGCUUGAUUAUUGCUAAUUGAAGCUUUAAAUAGUAGCAAGACACCCAGGCCAGAUGGUAUUCAUCCAAGGGUACUGAAAGACCUCAAAUUUGAAAUUGCUGAACUACUAUCAGUAAU